UACGAAGGGGGCUAGCGUUGCUCGGAAUCACUGGGCGUAAAGCGCACGUAGGCGGCUUUUUAAGUCAGAGGUGAAAUCCUGGAGCUCAACUCCAGAACUGCCUUUGAUACUGGAGAGCUUGAGUCCGGGAGAGGUGAGUGGAACUGCGAGUGUAGGGGUGAAAUUCGUAGAUAUUCGCAAGAACACCAGUGGCGAAGGCGGCUCACUGGCCCGGUACUGACGCUGAGACGCGAAAGCGUGGGGAGCGAACAGG
rnacentral:rRNA from 1 species